rnacentral:rRNA from 1 species
CAUCGUUGCCCCUGUGCCUUGGCCAUGUGCUAGGCACCGUGCGGGGCGAAUGUUGGCUUCCCGCGAGCAGCGUCUCACGGUUGGUUGAAAACUGAGUCCGCGGUGGAGGGCACCGUGAUGGAUGGUGGCUGAGUUAAAGCUCGAGACCGAUCAUGCGUGUCACCCCCACCAGCUUUGCGACUCUGUGACCCAUGGGGUCUGUUGGCCGCCUAAGACGGGA